rnacentral:rRNA from 1 species
AUUGAACGCUGGCGGCAGGCCUAACACAUGCAAGUCGAGCGGAUGAAGGGAGCUUGCUCCUGGAUUCAGCGGCGGACGGGUGAGUAAUGCCUAGGAAUCUGCCUGGUAGUGGGGGAUAACGUCCGGAAACGGGCGCUAAUACCGCAUACGUCCUGAGGGAGAAAGUGGGGGAUCUUCGGACCUCACGCUAUCAGAUGAGCCUAGGUCGGAUUAGCUAGGUGGUGGGGUAAAGGCCUACCAAGGCGACGAUCCGUAACUGGUCUGAGAGGAUGAUCAGUCAAACUGGAACUGAGAAACGGUCCCGACCCCUACGGGAGGCCGCAGUGGGGAAUAUUGGACCAUUGGGCAAAGCCUUAUCCAGCCCAGCCGCGUUGUGGAAGAAGGUCUUUCGAUUUUAAAGCACUUUAAGUUGGGAGGAAGGGCAGUAAGUUAAUACCUUGCUGUUUUGACGUUACCAACAGAAUAAGCACCGGCUAACUUCGUG